rnacentral:rRNA from 1 species
GGCUGGGGCGGCACAUCUGUCAAACGAUAACGCAGGUGUCCUAAGGUGAGCUCAAUGAGAACAGAAAUCUCAAACACAGGACAGCCCCUAGUCUCCUUCGCAGCCCCCAGCGG